rnacentral:rRNA from 1 species
GACGAACGCUGGCGGCGUGCCUAACACAUGCAAGUCGAGCGGGAACCUCAGGAGGGGUAACCCUCCUGAGGGGAGAGCGGCGAACGGGUGAGUAACACGUGGGCAACCUGCCCCGGACACCGGGAUAACCCAGGGAAACCUGAGCUAAUACCGGAUACUCCGGCGAGAUCGCAUGGGCGCGCCGGGAAAGCUCCGACGGUCCGGGAUGGGCCCGCGGCCUAUCAGCUUGUUGGUGGGGUAACGGCCGACCAAGGCGACGCCGGGUAGCUGGUCUGAGAGGACGGCCAGCCACACUGGGACUGAGACACGGCCCAGACUCCUACGGGAGGCAGCAGUGGGGGAUCUUGCGCUAAUGCGCGAAAGCGUGACGCAGCGACGCCGCGUGGGGGAUGAAGGCCCUCGGGUUGUAAACCCCUUUCGGCAGGGACGAAGCGAAAGUGACGGUACCUGCAGAAGAAGUCCCGGCUAACUACGUGCCAGCAGCCGCCGUAACAC